CGAGCUCACUGAGCCUGAGACUGGUUCAAGAAACUCCCAAUAAAGGUUCUGGCUGAGACUUUCUUCUUGCUUUUUUCUGCUUCCUGACCAACACUGCUGCUUUCCCCUAUGACCGUGCAUGAUAUGAAGGGACCUCAUCUCUGGGACCUGUUUAUUCUUGGAAAAUCCCGAGUCAUGAUCCCUGCUUUUCUAGCCAAAACUACAUUUGGAAGUGCCCUGAACCAGAGAUAGAUUUGGACCCAAGAAACAAGCCAAGGGUAGAUCAUCUCAGAGAAAAUACCUGUUAUGGGCCAGAGAAGACUGGGGCUUCAAGAUAAUUGACACCACCCUGGGCUUCAAGGAAGGACUGAAUGAGCAAAAUCAAGAAAAUAGCAAAUUCCAUCCACUUAAUCAUAGCAGUUGGUUCAGGGAUGGAUCUAUGAUCUACAUCUGGCCAGCCAGGGCUAAGGAGACUCAAUUCUGGAACUACAGGCUCGGGAUGUCUGGUGGAAAAUAGAAGUAUAUAGUUGUACAUACUUCUCACACACAAGAAGCUUUGAAGCUCUGGAAAAAUAAGAAACAUGUACGUGGGAAAUGUGCAACAUUGUCUACCUUUUCACAUAAACAACAUAUGGAAC